AGACAGGUGUCCGAGUGGUCGAAGGAGCACGCCUGGAACGCGUGUGAGGUGCAAGCCUCCGAGGGUUCGAAUCCCUUCCUGUCUGCCA
rnacentral:tRNA from 1 species